rfam:Heterocephalus glaber contig48179, whole genome shotgun sequence.
GGAUGUGAGGGGAGUCGCUGUGACAGCCAUCCUCCCAUCGACUGUCAGGGUUGAUUCAGCUAAUCUGGCUGGCUAGGCAGGCGUCCCCUUCCUCAGCACUCCAUGUGCAUCGCCCCCGGAGCUGCACUCUAGGUCAAAGAGGACGACCCCCUUGAUAGAGGAGGACCAUUUCCUCAGUCAAGGGUAUAUGAGUAGCUAUGCUCCCCUGCGAGAACCUCCAAACAAGCUCUCGAGGAGGCUGAGGAAGGAGGAUUGAAGUUUGAGCCUAGCCUCGGCAGCUCAGUGACAACACCCUGUCUCAAGAG